UGCUAGCAAAUAAGUGCGCUAGGGAUUGCAGUGGAAAGCCCACAGCGCCCGAGUUUGUUUUUGAGGGUGCGAGGACUUGUAGCGGAAAGCCCGACCCUUG
rnacentral:misc_RNA from 1 species